rnacentral:rRNA from 1 species
UUUAACUGAAGAGUUUGAUCAUGGCUCAGAUUGAACGCUGGCGGCAGGCUUAACACAUGCAAGUCGAGCGGGGGAAGGUAGCUUGCUACCGGACCUAGCGGCGGACGGGUGAGUAAUGCUUAGGAAUCUGCCUAUUAGUGGGGGACAACAUCUCGAAAGGGAUGCUAAUACCGCAUACGUCCUACGGGAGAAAGCAGGGGAUCUUCGGACCUUGCGCUAAUAGAUGAGCCUAAGUCGGAUUAGCUAGUUGGUGGGGUAAAGGCCUACCAAGGCGACGAUCUGUAGCGGGUCUGAGAGGAUGAUCCGCCACACUGGGACUGAGACACGGCCCAGACUCCUACGGGAGGCAGCAGUGGGGAAUAUUGGACAAUGGGGGGAACCCUGAUCCAGCCAUGCCGCGUGUGUGAAGAAGGCCUUAUGGUU